UACAGAGGGGGUGCGAGCGUUUUGUUCGGAAUUAUUGGGGGCGUAAAGGGGGGCGCGUAGGCGGUGCGGUAAGUCACCUGUGAAAUCUCCUGGCUCAACUGGGGGAGCUUUGCAGGCGAAACUGCCGUGCUGGGAGUGUGGGGGAGAGGGGUGAGUGGGAAUUUCCCCCGUGUAGCGGGUGAAAUGCGUAGAUAUCGGGGGGAGGGAACACCUGUGGGCGAAAGCGG
rnacentral:rRNA from 1 species